rnacentral:tRNA from 1 species
UGUGGCUCAGUGGUAGAGCUCUUGCCUUGAAUACAGAAGAUCCUGGGUUCGAUCCCCAGGCUCACAA